rnacentral:rRNA from 1 species
UACGAAGGGUGCAAGCGUUAAUCGGAAUUACUGGGCGUAAAGCGUGCGUAGGCGGUUAUUUAAGUCUGUUGUGAAAUCCCCGGGCUCAACCUGGGAAUUGCGUUGGAGACUGCAAGGCUGGAGUCUGGCAGAGGGGGGUAGAAUUCCACGUGUAGCAGUGAAAUGCGUAGAGAUGUGGAGGAACACCGAUGGCGAAGGCAGCCCCCUGGGUCAAGACUGACGCUCAUGCACGAAAGCGUGGGAGCAAACAGG